GAAUGUCUGACUUUGUCAGGCCUCUGUCUCAGAGACCUGGCUAGUAGAUUCUGGGUCAGGCUAUGAAUGUCUGUGGACACUCGCCUGUCUUUGAGCACUGACACUGCACAAUGAUUCCUCACCCCAGGCUGACCAGCACAAAGGAUCUAUAAGCUACUGAGAUUUCCAGUCCCUGGUGAGGAAUAACUUUUGGCCCUGUCUUGGUGGUUAACAGUGAGGAGCAGAAAUGACAUGGGAUAAGGAGCAAGCCUCCAGAAUGAAAUCCAGUUAUCUGAAACUCAUUUCCUACGUGUAAAUGGUGGGUUGAAACUCUUGUCACAACAGUGCUGACACAGCAAGC